GGCCUCGAGUGGACACCAAUGACUCUCACGACACUCUACCCGAGUGUCGGACCCUCACGGAUCAAGUCCGUGGAUUUACGGGUUUUCCCGUUAAGAUAUGAUCAAACAUGUUAUAUUAUCUGAGCCGAGGCCCAAACAAUACAAUUCAAUGACAUAAGUAAAUGCAACACAACAUCAAUGUAUCACAAUCAUGCUAUACCCCUCGAGCCGAGGCCCGACGAUAUAACUCAAUAUCUUUCACAAACAGCAAUCAUUAUCAUAUCAUUGUAUAUCUAAACGCGCAACCUAGCAAUGCAUCAACAAAUACUCUUGCUUUGCAGGCGCUAGCCGCACACACAACAAUCAUAACCCAUAACCGAGACUCAC
rnacentral:lncRNA from 1 species